AUGGGACUGAGCAGAGGUAAUCUUGAAUGUGAGGUAGUGGACAGUGUCACUAGACAGAAGAACUGGCAAGGUAGUAGCAAAGUUCAGAAUCUCAAUGUGAUGAUAAUCUGCAAUGACCAGCUGAUAGGUGUGGCCUUCUCCCAGAGUAAUGUCUCCUCUUAUGUGGUGGACCUGACGAAAGUCACCAGGACAGGAACCGAGGACCCUGUGGCUAGCCAGCCUCUGACACAACAGACCCCUAACCCUGGUGUCUCCCUCCACUGCAUCUACGAGUGGCCCUGCACGACCUGCAGCAAGCCUCAGAGGGUAAAGCACAAUUCAGAGAGCAAGCGGCACAGCCCAAGCAGUGAAGAUGACAUGGACAAGCUUGAGUCCCGGGCUGGGCUGAGAUCCAGAACGCGAAGGACUACAAUGAGAUCUUCCAGCCCAAGAACAGCAUCAGUGGAACGCCACCCCGGAGAAGUGAGCCCUUCCCAGUGCACCCAGAAGAUGACACAUCCCACAGCAAAGGAGGCCUCAAAGCCCAGCCCAGCCAUGGAUGUGCAGUUGCCGGUGCCAAAUCUCGAGGUCACAACACAACUGUCAGUUAUGACUGACGCUCCUGCACCCAAGGAUGAGCCUGCCAUCAUCCCUGCCACACGGAAUGAGCCUAUCGGCUUAAAGGCCUCAGACUUCUUGCCCACCGUGAAGGUCCCCCAGAAGGCGGAGCUGGUGGACAAGGAUGCCAUGUCACAGAUACACAAAGGCCAUGACACCAUGUAUGUGGUACUCACCAGCCGCCACAAGAACCUGGACAUGGUCCGAGCUGUGUGGACCACAGGAGAUAUCAAGACAUCAGUGAACUCUGCAGUGGACAUCAAUGACCUAUCUGUGGUGGUGGACCUCCUGAAUAUUGUCAACCAGAAAGCUUCCCCGGGGAAGCUGGACCUGUGCACCACAGUGCUGCCCCAGAUUGAGAAACUUCUGUGGAGCAAGUAUGAGAGUUAUGUCCAGACCGGGUGCACCUCCCUGAAGCUGAUCCUGCAGCAGUUCAUACCCCUCAUCACCGACAUUUUGGCAGUCCCGCCCUCUGUGAGUGUGGACAUCAACCGAGAGGAGAGGUUGCACAAGUGUCGACUCUGCUUCAAACAACUCAAGAGCAUCAGUUGCCUCGUCAAGAGCAAGCCAGCUUUGAGUGGCCGCCCCAGUAGUGUGCCUUCCGUGAGCUGCACCUACUUAUGGCCAGUUUGGACUGA